rnacentral:tRNA from 2 species
GCAGUCGUGGCUGAGCGGUAAUGGCGAUGGACUAGAAAUCCAUUGGUGUCUCCCCGCACAGGUUCGAAUCCUGUAGACUGCG